rnacentral:rRNA from 1 species
CACGUAGGGGGCAAGCGUUGUCCGGAUUUAUUGGGCGUAGAGAGCUCGUAGGCGGCUUGGUAAGUCGGGUGUGAAACCUCCAGGCUCAACCUGGAGACGCCACUCGAUACUGCUAUGGCUAGAGUCCGGUAGGGGAGCGUGGAAUUCCUGGUGUAGCGGUGAAAUGCGCAGAUAUCGGGAGGAACACCAGCGGCGAAGGCGGCGCUCUGGGCCGGAACUGACGCUGAGGAGCGAAAGCGUGGGGAGCGAACAGG